AUAACUAGUUUUCAACAAACAUGCCUUACUAAAAACAUUACUGGUGUCCAUUUUGAGGCUAAACAAAGGACACUAAUGUAUUUUAAGAUAUAUCAGUGCAAGUUGUUUUCAGUUUGGACAGCUCUUACAUUUAUUUUAGUCUAGGACUAAUCUAAUCCCUGUCCGGGAAACUGUCCGUAAUGUUUUUAGUAAGUAAUGUUUGUUGAAACUAGUUAUAUUUCCUAAUUAAACUAAGGCCUAGUCUUAGCUUAAGCUAAUCCCUGUCUGGGAAACCACCCCAUAAUGUCCCCUGUUUAAGACUGCAUAUCUAUACACACGCAUGUAAUAACUUUCACCUAUUUGCUUGCCUUGAUUAUUGGCAUCCUAAGAUAUUUUAUAACUGCCUGGCACAUUCUUGGAGUUUGACUUUAAUAAUAACAUAAUUCUCAACAUUUGGUAAUGACUGUACUGUAAUAUUGUGUGUCAACAAUUGCAAAUAACAUAUUAAUGUUCUUUCUUUAAUUUAUUAGAUUUUACCUCGUCCUCCACUGCCUCCAGUAAUUCCUGGUUUUAAGAUGUUAUAUAUACAUCAGGGUUCCCCAAAUCUUACCCUGGAGGGCCGGAGCACUGCAGAGUUUAGCUCCAACGCUGAUCAAACACACCUGAGCAAGCUAAUCAAGGUCUUCAUGAUCACUAGAAAAUCACAGGUGGAGUAAUGGAGUAAAGAUGCAACGGAGCAGCUGAUAAGAAAACAUGCUUAAGACCAUCUUAAACGUGCACCAUCAAGAAAGGGAGGGGUACACAAUAAACAUUUUUUUUAACAUUACUUUUUGAAUAGAUGCACUUUAAAAAAAAUUUUUUAAGUAUAUAUAUUGUUUAUUUAUGAUGUUUUUAAAUGUUAUAAUUGUAUUGUUUUUACUUGUUGUAUUUACCUUUUAUGGAUUUGUGCACACACAAACACACACACACAACCACAUUUAUACAAAAUAAGUUUUGAAUAAAUACGUUUAAUGGAGUGCAAAGUGUGAGUCUUUAUUUAGCUAAAUGAUGUCUGCAGUUGACGUUAUAAGACGUUGAAAAUAUGUACACAAUGACCACAUUUCAACUAAAUUUGGACCUUAAACAGACGU